rfam:Rattus norvegicus chromosome 20, whole genome shotgun sequence.
GGGGAUUUGGCUCAGUGGUAGAGCGCUUGCCUAGCAAGUGCAAGGUCCUGGGUUCGGUCCCCAGCUCCA